UACGUAGGUGGCAAGCGUUGUCCGGAUUUACUGGGCGUAAAGAGCGCGCAGGCGGUCGUCCAAGUCGCGUGUGAAAGCCCCCGGCUCAACUGGGGAGGGUCACGCGAUACUGGUCGACUCGAAGGCAGGAGAGGGUAGUGGAAUUCCCGGUGUAGUGGUGAAAUGCGUAGAUAUCAGGAGGAACACCGGUGGCGAAGGCGGGUCUCUGGGCCGAUAUUGACGCUGAGGAGCGAAAGCGUGGGGAGCGAACAGG
rnacentral:rRNA from 1 species